rnacentral:rRNA from 1 species
CUACGGAGGGUGCAAGCGUUACUCGGAAUCACUGGGCGUAAAGCGCGCGCAGGCGGCUUGAUAAGUUGGAUGUGAAAGCCUACGGCUCAACCGUAGAACUGCAUCCAAAACUAUUUAGCUAGAGUGUGGGAGAGGAAGAUGGAAUUAGUUGUGUAGGGGUAAAAUCCGUAGAGAUAACUAGGAAUACCAAAAGCGAAGGCAAUCUUCUGGAACACUACUGACGCUGAGGCGCGAAGGCGUGGGGAGCAAACAGGAUUAGAUACCCCUGUAGUCC